CGCACAUUGCGCCCUCUGGUAUUCCGGAGGGCAUGCCUGUUCGAGCGUCAUUAUCACCCCUCAAGCUCGGCUUGUUGUUGGUUGCAGCGGGCCUCCCGCUCUUCCCAAAGAUAAUGACGGCGUCUGUGAGGACUCCUGUACACUGAGCUUUCGGGCACGUACUAGGCUAGAAAUCCAGACCCGGUCUUCGUCCUUCGGGACACUUUUUUACCAAGGUUGACCUCGGAUCAGGUAGGGAUACCCGCUGAACUUAA
rnacentral:misc_RNA from 1 species